rnacentral:ncRNA from 1 species
AUAGGGAAUUGCAAUUAUUUCCCUUGAACGAGCAAUUCCCAGUAAGCGCGAGUCAUUAGCUCGCGUUGAUUACGUCCCUGCCCUUUGUACACACCGCCCGUCGCUACUACCGAUUGAAUGGUUUAGUGAGGUCCUCCGAUUGGACCCGGUCCGGGCGGCGACGUCCGAGCCGGCGUCCGAGAAGACGAUCUAACUUGAUCAUUUAGAGGAAGUAAAAGUCGUAACAAGGUUUCCGUAGGUGAACCUGCGGAAGGAUCAUUA